rnacentral:rRNA from 1 species
AACGAACGCUGGCGGCAGGCCUAACACAUGCAAGUCAAACGGCCCUUCGGGGCAGUGGCGCACGGGUGCGUAACGCGUGGGAAUGUACACCUUGGUAAGGAAUAACUGCUGGAAACGGUAGCUAAUACCUUAUAAUGACUCCGGUCCAAAGAUUUAUCGCCAAAGGGAUCAGCCCGCGUCAGAUUAGAUAGUUGGUGGGGUAAUGGCCUACCAAGUCUACGAUCUGUAGGGGGUCUGAGAGGAUGAUCCCCCACACUGGUACUGAGACACGGACCAGACUCCUACGGGAGGCAGCAGUGAGGAAUAUUAGACAAUGGGCGAAAGCCUGAUCUAGCCAUGCCGCGUGAGUGAAGAAGGCCUUAGGGUUGUAAAGCUCUUUCAAUAGUGAAGAUAAUGACGGUAGCUAUAGAAGAAGCUCCGGCUAAAUUCGUGCAGCAGCCGCGGUAAUGCGAUAU